AUUAAACCAUCCAUACAUUAUAGUUUUGUCAUGACCAAACGUAUGCGUAAAUCCAGCCGGUGCGGUUGCUGCACAGCUUCCUGUAUCAUCUUAACCAUUCUCAUCCUCAUCUUCGUCAUUGUCUUACUCUUGGUUUUCGAAGUUCACAAACCGAAAAAACCUAUAACGCAGAUCUAAUCACACACCGAACUAGGCGUCGUAUAUCCUUACCAUUUGAUGUUCAGCUCAAUUUCACACUUAUUAGUCUCCAUAUUCUAGUCAAGAAUCGCAACAAUAAGUUUCAAGCACGAGAUAGGGAAGACAUUAGUGGUACACAGAGAGAAGCAACUUGGUGUUGUUGAUCUUCCCUCGGGUACAAUGCCGGCUAAAGUUUCUUCAAUUCUACCUUGUCUUCUUACUCUUCAGAGCGAUAAGCUUGUUUCGACAUAAGUGGUAUCAUGCUAGAUAUAUUGGGUGGAAAGAUUGUGUUGGAAACAAAGACACGAAAAGUCAAGUUGUUUGGAAUCUUCAAGUUGUAAAACCACUACUAACGACUGUAUUUUUCAUCCCUACUCUCUC